rnacentral:pre_miRNA from 1 species
UCUUAUGGAUAAGCAAAGAAAGUGGUUUCUUAAAAUGAAAUCUACUCCUAGUGAAGAUCCUGUGAA